rnacentral:rRNA from 1 species
AGUCAUAUGCUUGUCUCAAAGAUUAAGCCAUGCAUGUCUAAGUAUAAACAACUUUAUACUGUGAAACUGCGAACGGCUCAUUAUAUCAGCAAUAAUUUAUUUGAUGGUUCCUUACUACACGGAUAACUGUAGUAAUUCUAGAGCUAAUACGUGCAACAAACCCCGACUUCUGGAAGGGAUGCAUUUAUUAGAUAAAAGGUCGACGCGGGCUCUGCCCGUUGCUGCGAUGAUUCAUGAUAACUCGACGGAUCGCACGGCCUUCGUGCCGGCGACGCAUCAUUCAAAUUUCUGCCCUAUCAACUUUCGAUGGUAGGAUAGUGGCCUACUAUGGUGGUGACGG